GAUGAACGCUAGCUACAGGCUUAACACAUGCAAGUCGAGGGACCGGCGCACGGGUGAGUAACACGUAUCACGCCUGCCCUUUACUCGGUGAUAGCCUUUCGAAAUAAAGAUUAAUACCCGCAAUAAAGGAUGGGGAUGCGUUCCAUUAGGUUGUUGGUGAGGUAACGGCUCACCAAGCCUUCGAUGGAUAGGGGUUCGGAGGGACAGGUCCCCCACGUUGGAACUGAGACCCGUUCCAAACUCCUACGGGAGGCAGCAGUGAGGAAUAUUGGUCAAUGGGCGGUAGCCUGACCCAGCCAAGUAGCGUGAAGGAUGAAGGCUUAUGGGUCGUAAACUUCUUUUAUAUAAGAAUAUGUAUUAUAUGAAUAAGGAUCGGCUAACUCCGUGCCAGCAGCCGCGGUAAUUC
rnacentral:rRNA from 1 species